UCGAAGACAGGUAAGCCUGGGUUUGCUGGGUUUAUAUAGGCCUAAAUCCCUGCCACAACUACAGUCUCUCUCUCUUCCCCUCUUCCCCCUCUCCCCCUCUCCCCCUCGAAGACAGGUAAGCCUGGGUUUGCUGGGUUUAUAUAGGCCUAAAUCCCUGCCACAACUACAAUCUCUCUCUCUCUCCCUCUCCCUCUCCCUCUC